CUACACAGAUUUCCCGCCGGCAGUGACUGUGAGGUGUGGUCCUUCAGCAGCCGUAAUAAUUGGAUUAAAAACCUUAAUAGAAAGGACUUUGAGCCAACUAAAAAUAGCAGGAUUUGCUCAAUCCACUUUCAGGAUGGGAAACCAUCAAAGAAUAACCCCUACCCAUCACUGCACAUGGGAUAUAAACCUCAUAAACCACUAUCUUCUGGCAGACAUGCCCCAAGAAUGAGACAAGAUUUUAAGCUGCAAUCAUCAAUUCAAGAGCAAGAAUCUGUGUCUGAGCAUGCCGUUCACGAGAUGCCACAUGCUUCCCCUGUAUGUGGAGAAACCAUACUGCCUGCUUCUUUAGCAACCGUGUAAAGACGCCUCAGUGCAGUGGUAUGAUUUUAGCACUGCAGAUAACACAUAUGCUAAAAAUCGCAGUUGCCCCAUAAAAAGCCAAGUGAAAGCAACUCAGACAUGUCAGACGGAUACCUCUCCCGAACUGUCCGCAUCUGAUAUGGGUGAUGAUACGAGCAAAUUCUAUACUGGCUUGAUUGUCCAUGUAUUUUGGGCAUUGGUUAAAUGCCUGUCAAUUUUGCCAAAUGUGCCAACUUUCAAGAUGAAGCUCUGCAAUCAACUUCUGCUUGUGUUGAUGCGACUCCGACUUGGUUUGUUCUUCUUUGACUUGGGAACACGUUUUAAGGUUUCCCAAUCUACAGCAUGCCAGAUUUUCAGAGAAUGGAUUCCCAUCUUGGCAAGAUUUAUGCGUGAACACUUGAUAUUUUGGCCUUCGAGGGACACACUGCAAAGGAUCAGACCAAGAUGCUUUUUGGAACACUAUCCUUGGGCCACUUGUAUAAUAGAUUGUACCGAAAUGUUUGUACAAAGACCACGGAACCUGAAACAACGUGCUCAGACCUAUUCAAAUUAUAAGCAUCACAAUACAUUCAAGCUUCUUUAUUGUAUUGCUCCUAAUGGCUUUGUCAUGUACUUAUCAAAACUAUUUGGUGGGCGUGCGAGUGACAAAUUUAUCACUCA